GUGUAGAAUCUGCCUUCAGGUCGGGGAUAACAGUUGGAAACGACUGCUAAUACCGGAUGUGCUGUGAAGUGAAAGCUUAAUGUGCCUGAAGAUGAGCUCGCGUCCGAUUAGCUAGUUGGUGGGGUAAGAGCCUACCAAGGCGGCGAUCGGUAGCUGGUUUGAGAGGAUGAUCAGCCACACUGGGACUGAGACACGGCCCAGACUCCUACGGGAGGCAGCAGUGGGGAAUUUUCCGCAAUGGGCGCAAGCCUGACGGAGCAAUACCGCGUGCGGGAGGAAGGCUUUUGGGUCGUAAACCGCUUUUAUUGGGGAAGAAGCACUGACGGUACCCAAUGAAUCACCAUCGGCUAACUCCGUGCCAGCAGCCGCGGUAAUACGGGGGAUGCAAGCGUUAUCCGGAAUUAUUGGGCGUAAAGCGUCCGCAGGUGGCGAUUCAAGUCUGCUGUUAAAGCGUAGAGCUUAACUCUAUAUCGGCAGUGGAAACUGAGUUGCUAGAGUACGGUAGGGGUAGCGGGAAUUCCCAGUGUAGCGGUGAAAUGCGUAGAUAUUGGGAAGAACACCAGCGGCGAAAGCGCGCUACUGGGCCUGUACUGACACUGAGGGACGAAAGCUAGGGGAGCGAAAGGGAUUAGAUACCCCU
rnacentral:rRNA from 1 species